AAUUAAAAAAGCUCUCCGUACAGUUCACAACAGUAAAAGAAAAUCACUAGAUCAGAGUUCCAAUGCAUCUGCACCAGUCCAUGGCACAGCCGACUGGCCCUAUCCUGGCGUGCACGCCUGAUACCACUACUCCAAUCGAUGGGGCAACUACCUCAUUGGAAGAAAUUCCUCCUACUUGGACUAUGCAAAUGAUGUUAUUGCUCCCAUCAAACAGAGCCCUCGGAAACCUAGUUCAAUGGUGGUGGCUAGACAAACUACGCACAACGGCAUGCCGGCUGUGAUCUUCAAAUUGGAUGAUUAUUAUGGAAUCAUGGCGGAAGAAUGCAAAUGGACUCUAUCGAUAAAAUGGCUAGGUUAACAGAAGAGGAGUCCGCUUCUGCUGGAGAAGUGGAUCGGUUUCCUCAAGCUCAAAAAACAGAAGAAUUGACCUCAUCAGCUCGUGGUUCAGUUAGAGAAGAUGAAAGUGUAGAAGAUGAGGAAUCAAUAGAUUAGGAAGAUAAAAAUGAAAGUGGAAAAGAAAGCGUAGAAGAUGAGGAAUCAAUGCAUCAGGAAGGAAAAAAUGAAAGUGGAGAAGAAAAUGCAGAAGAUGAGAAAUCAACGGAUCAACAAGAAGAAAAUAAAAGUGGAGAAGAAAGGGAAGAAGAAACAAAUCAUGUACUUUUCGAACAAAGAAAAAAAGUAUUACAUGAUGAGAAUGUUUACCUUCAAGAUCAAAUGUGAGUGUUUUUUUAAAUUGUCAUUAGUGAAAACAAAGAGUAGGUGUUUUAGCAUUCAUUUACUAUUUUUUAGAAAAUUACCCCCAGUUCAAACAAUUAAUGGAUGCUUAAACACCUACUAAUUGUUUAUUGUAAACAAACAGUUGUUAUUUAAGCACCAAUUAGUUGUUUAAACUACUACCAGUUCAAACAA